rnacentral:rRNA from 1 species
GACGAACGCUGGCGGCGUGCUUAACACAUGCAAGUCGAACGAAGUGGCGAACGGGUGAGUAAUACGUGGGUAACCUGCCCUCCUUUUUGGGAUAAGCCUUGGAAACGGGGUCUAAUACCGAAUAAAGGGGGAUGGGCUCGCGGCCUAUCAGCUUGUUGGUGGGGUGAUGGGCUACCAAGGCGGUGCCGGGUAGCCGGCCGGAGAGGGUGACCGGCCACAUUGCGACGGAGAUACGGCCCAGACGAGUACGAGAGGGAGCUGUGGGGGAUAGUGCACAAGGGGCGAAAGGCAGAUGCAGCGACGCCGCGUGGGGGAUGAGGUCGUUCGGGUUGUAAACCUCGGUCGCUAGCGAACGGGUAGGUGGAUAAGAAGCGCCGGCUAACUACGUGCCAGCAGCCGCGGUAAUAC